rnacentral:rRNA from 1 species
GAUGAACGCUGGCGGCGUGCCUAAUACAUGCAAGUCGAGCGAACGGACGAGAAGCUUGCUUCUCUGAUGUUAGCGGCGGACGGGUGAGUAACACGUGGAUAACCUACCUAUAAGACUGGGAUAAUUUCGGGAAACCGGAGCUAAUCCCGGAUAAUAUUUUGAACCGCAUGGUUCAAAAGUGAAAGACGGUCUUGCUGUCACUACUAGAUGGAUCCGCGCUGCAUUAGCUAGUUGGUAAGGUAACGGCUUAUCAAGGAAAGGAUGCAUAACCGACCUGAGAGGGUGAUCGGCCACACUGGAACUGAGACACGGUCCAGACUCCUACGGGAGGCAGCAGUAGGGAAUCUUCCGCAAUGGGCGAAAGCCUGACGGAGCAACGCCGCGUGAGUUAUGAAGGUCUUCGGAUCGUAAAACUCUGUUAUUAGUUAAGAACAUAUGUGUAAUUAACUGUGCACAUCUUGACGGUACCUAAUCAGAAAGCCACGGCUAACUACGUG